UCGCGGCUUAUCACCGGCAGUCCCCUUAGAGUGCCCAACUGAAUGAUGGCAACUAAGGGCGAGGGUUGCGCUCGUUGCGGGACUUAACCCAACAUUUCACAACACGAGCUGACGACAGCCAUGCACCACCUGUGCAUCACCCUCGAAGGCGACCACUUUUCGGUGGCUUGCAGAUGCAUGUCAAGCCCUGGUAAGGUUCUUCGCGUUGCAUCGAAUUGAACCACAUGCUCCACCGCUUGUGCGGGCCCCCGUCAAUUCCUUUGAGUUUCAGCCUCGCGACCGUACUCCCCAGGCGGUGCACUUAUCGCGUUAACUUCGGCACGAACCGAAAACCGGCUCACACCAAGUGCACAUAGUUUACGGCUAGGACUAC
rnacentral:misc_RNA from 1 species